rnacentral:rRNA from 1 species
GAUGAACGCUGGCGGCGUGCCUAAUACAUGCAAGUCGAGCGAACAGACGAGGAGCUUGCUCCUCUGACGUUAGCGGCGGACGGGUGAGUAACACGUGGAUAACCUACCUAUAAGACUGGGAUAACUUCGGGAAACCGGAGCUAAUACCGGAUAAUAUAUUGAACCGCAUGGUUCAAUAGUGAAAGACGGUUUUGCUGUCACUUAUAGAUGGAUCCGCGCCGCAUUAGCUAGUUGGUAAGGUAACGGCUUACCAAGGCAACGAUGCGUAGCCGACCUGAGAGGGGGGGGGCCCACACUGACACUGGAACCGGCCCCGGCCCCCUCGGGGGGGCGCAAGGAGGAAUUCUUCGGAAAGGGGGGCAGGCCGGCGGACAACGGCCGGAGGGGGGGAGAAGGGUGUUCGAAUCAAAAAACUUUUUUAUGGGGAAGAAAAAAAUGUAAAAUUAACUCUCCCCGCCUGGAGGGACCCUAAUAGAAAGCCCACGCCAAACUCGGUC